ACCUGGCUGGCUUAGUCAGUAGAGAAUGUGACUACAGAUCUCAGGAUCAUGAGUUCAAGCCCCAUGUUGGGUG
rnacentral:tRNA from 1 species